UUGAACGCUGGCGGCAUGCUUUACACAUGCAAGUCGAACGGUAACAGGCCGCAAGGUGCUGACGAGUGGCGAACGGGUGAGUAAUGCAUCGGAACGUGCCCAGUCGUGGGGGAUAACUACUCGAAAGAGUAGCUAAUACCGCAUACGAUCUAUGGAUGAAAGCGGGGGACCGUAAGGCCUCGCGCGAUUGGAGCGGCCGAUGUCAGAUUAGGUAGUUGGUGGGGUAAAGGCUCACCAAGCCAACGAUCUGUAGCUGGUCUGAGAGGACGACCAGCCACACUGGGACUGAGACACGGCCCAGACUCCUACGGGAGGCAGCAGUGGGGAAUUUUGGACAAUGGGCGCAGGCCUGAUCCAGCAAUGCCGCGUGCAGGAAGAAGGCCUUCGGGUUGUAAACUGCUUUUGUACGGAACGAAACGGCUCUGGUUAAUACCCGGGGCUAAUGACGGUACCGUAAGAAUAAGCACCGGCUAACUACGUG
rnacentral:rRNA from 1 species